UACGGGGGGGGCAAGCGUUGUUCGGAAUUACUGGGCGUAAAGGGCUCGUAGGCGGCCAACUAAGUCAGACGUGAAAUCCCUCGGCUUAACCGGGGAACUGCGUCUGAUACUGGAUGGCUUGAGGUUGGGAGAGGGAUGCGGAAUUCCAGGUGUAGCGGUGAAAUGCGUAGAUAUCGGGAGGAACACCAGUGGCGAAGGCGGCUUGCUGGGCUACUCCUGACACUGAUGUACGAAAGCGUGGGGAGCGAACAGG
rnacentral:rRNA from 1 species